rnacentral:rRNA from 1 species
GGCCGCGGGAAUUCGAUUAGAGUUUGAUCCUGGCUCAGGACGAACGCUGGCGGCGUGCCUAAUACAUGCAAGUCGAACGGACAGACGGGAGCUUGCUCCCUGAUGUUAGCGGCGGACGGGUGAGUAACACGUGGGUAACCUGCCUGUAAGACUGGGAUAACUCCGGGAAACCGGGGCUAAUACCGGAUGCUUGUUUGAACCGCAUGGUCCAAACAUAAAAGGUGGCUUCGGCUACCACUUACAGAUGGACCCGCGGCGCAUUAGCUAGUUGGUGAGGUAAUGGCUCACCAAGGCAACGAUGCGUAGCCGACCUGAGAGGGUGAUCGGCCACACUGGGACUGAGACACGGCCCAGACUCCUACGGGAGGCAGCAGUAGGGAAUCUUCCGCAAUGGACGAAAGUCUGACGGAGCAACGCCGCGUGAGUGAUGAAGGUUUUCGGAUCGUAAAGCUCUGUUGUUAGGGAAGAACAAGUACCGUUCGAAUAGGGCGGUACCUUGACGGUACCUAACCAGAAAGCCACGGCUAACUACGUGCCAGCAGCCGCGGUAAUACGUAGGUGGCAAGCGUUGUCCGGAAUUAUUGGGCGUAAAGGCUCGCAGGCGGUUUCUUAAGUCUGAUGUGAAAGCCCCCGGCUCAACCGGGGAGGGUCAUUGGAAACUGGGGAACUUGAGUGCAGAAGAGGAGAGUGGAAUUCCACGUGUAGCGGUGAAAUGCGUAGAGAUGUGGAGGAACACCAGUGGCGAAGGCGACUCUCUGGUCUGUAACUGA